UGAGACAGAUGAGUCAUACACCAAUUCUAAUUUGUAUAAAAACCUGGGUUGGCACUUCCAGAGGAUGAAAAUGGUAAGGAGAAGCAUUUGAUGGCCAUUACAUUUAAUUGCUAUUUGAAGACGUGACAAUUUUAAAAGUUGUGCGUAGGAGAGCCUUAAAGGGAGGAAAGAAUAACGCUGGAGAGGACCCUGAAAUGACCCAGAUCUAAGGUGAACAGUGAGACUAGGAAGGAGUCUGAGAAAGACAAAGGGAAGAGGAAAAAUCAAGAGAUUGAAAGCCACGCCUGGAGACAACUUCAGUCAGGUCUGCUGCAUCCAUCCAAACAGGCCAGCAGAGUCAAGGAGCUGGGGGACCGAGAAAGGUCCAUACAGAUGUGGCAGCAUUAGGUGGUCCCGGGUCCCAGGAAAGAAUUGGUGCAUUGUGAGACUGAGGGGAUGCUCCAAGGUUGCUAAGUUGUGGUGAGCUGAGUACAAAUGAAAGAUAGAGACAUGGCAACAAUACAGCGGGGCCGACAUGCAUUGAUGGAGAGGUAGAGUCAGUCAAGGUGGUACCAUAGGACGUAAAACUUUAUAAGGGAGUAUGAAUCAGCGAUGCCACAUGAGAGGAUGGUUGUUCAUAGGUUUCUAUCCUGUCACUGCUAUUUGACACUCCCAGUAAUGCAAAAGCAGCAUACCAUUCAUGCUUCACUGGGUUGUGUUCUUUGAAAAAAGUUUCACCAUGCUAUUUCCUUUAGUGUUAUAAAGCAUUAUAGAAAGCACUUUUUACAAAAUCUAGGAAGGGUCCACUUUAAUUUGGAAUUCUAUGUGAGCUAAGAGCCAAGUUACUGCCUCUUUCCAACUUUUAAGUUUUUUUUUAUUGUUAAAGCACCUUGCUUAGAAAAUUUUAAAUAUUUAUGUCUGAAACAGUUUUCCCAAAAUAAGGAACUGUGCAGUUCUGGACAUUAAAAAAAAAUGUUACCAUAGGAGGAGGCAGGCUCCAGAGAAGCGUUUGGGUUUUGCAUUUUAAAUGGGAGGGUGUGGAAGGCAUAGAGGAGGGAGCCCUGGAGAGGGUGAGUCAGAAGGUACAACAGAAAUCAACUUUGGAACUCUGGAGAAGCUGUGGCUGUUCUGCCAAAAGUCACAGUUUAUGAGGUGUUGGAAAAAUAGCAUUCUUUCAUCUUUUUAUUAAGGGCCACAAAAAUUAGCGGAGAAGCUAGACCCCACCUGACCCCAUUCCGGUAGGUCUACACAGAUCCUGUUGCAGAUGUGGAGCUUAGAUGCAAGUCAGUACAGAAUUUGGAUUGGCGGGAAGGAAAGCAAAACGUGAGGAUCUGGAAGUGUCUGCAGGUGAGGGACAGAGGAUGUGAGAGAUGAAAUAGGAAGAAAGUAGAACCAGUUCAUGCAGAGACUUCCGGAACAAAGAUCUUAAGUUUGAUUUGGAGGCGUUGAGCAGUCUCUGGAGACGGUUUUUUGUCAUCACAUUGAGGAUCACGUGCUACUGGUAUUUAGUGGAUGGAGACCAGGGAUGAUGCUAAACAUCCUACAGUGCACAGGACAGCCCCCACACCAAGGCGUUUUCUGGCCCAAAAUGUCAAUAUCGCUGCUGUUGGGAAACACUGGGCUGGAGAGUUCAGACAUCCCAGGGAAGGUCCUUGCCCUUUCAGGAUCACAGGGAGAGCUGACACUGUGAAAUAUUCAUGAUAAUCCCGCUGUCCUAAGCACCACAGUGAAGUGGGUGCUGGGUGCUAUGGCAGAGCAGAAGAAGAUGUCACUGACUGUGCUCGGGGUUGAAAUGAUUUUUGGAAGAAAGCCACAUUGGAGAUCAGUCUUAAAAGAUAAGUUGAAACUUAUCAGGAAGUUUGGAAGAUAGGAAGCGUGGGUGGAAGGAGAGUAUUCAAACAUGUGGCACAUUUGCGACCAGUGGCUGGUGUGGCGUAACUGGAAUACAAGGUGUAUAGUUGGAGGUGAUGGUGAGUGAUGGGGCUGGGCAGUUAGGUUGGGGCUACAUCAAGGAGGGUGCUGCAGGCCCUGUGCCUCUCUUCUCCAGUGUCCACCAAGGUCACGUAAGGUAACCUAGAACGUGCUGGGUUCCACAGUUCUCCUCACGGCACUCUUGUCUGUAAAUUUUAUUUCCUCAUCUGGGCUCUGGUAAGCGUGUGUCCUCUGAGUUUUGAGUAAAAGUAAUAGAGAAAUAAAACCCUUGCUAGUAAUUUGCCCUAAAGAUGGAAUCUGUCAGAUAAUCAUUCAGAAUUUAAAAGCUCGUCUCAAUAUUCCUUCAGAUGAAGAAAAUGGUAGGAUAAAAAUAUAGCAGAGCUUAUUAGUAACAUCUUACCCAUUUUUUCCCUAAAUGGUUAGAACAUACUGCCUUUCCCUGCUCUUUACAUCAACGUUCCUGUUAUUAAAGCUGUCUAUAUUUCAGUUCUAAAUCCUGGGAGGAUUUUCCCCAUGAAUUUAACAUGACUGAGGAAACUUGCUCCAGGGUAGAACCUUGCUGCAAAUUAUCUAACUGAGACUAGGCUGCUUAAUAAAGAGACUAAAAACGAAUCACAGCCUUUUUGUAGCUUCAAAUGUGGAGUUACCUUUCUCCUUCACCCUCAAUUUCAUGAUUAUUCAUAAUAGAAAGAGACCACCUUUAUACAGUGAUUGCAUGGAACAAAUGUCCUUUGUGUUCAAAACUGGAGGCUGCCGCUGAUACGGGCCAGGAGGGAGUAUGUGGGAGAGAGUUAGGGGUACCAUCUAGUUCUGGUUAGGGGAGCCACCAUUUCUAAGAUUCUCCAAAGGCCAUUCCUGCCCAUACUGCCUGAUGCUUAUAGGGGGGCGUGUAUGACACCUCUAGGGUCAGGCAUUGUCUUCUGAAUGACCCUCAGGUUAUCUGUUCAAGCCCAAAUCUCUACUAGUGUAUAACCAUGACUUUCCUGGGUUUGAAACUGAAACUGAAGUUGCUCAGUUGUGUCCGACUCUCUGCGACCCCAUGGACUGUAGCCUACCACGCUCCUCCAUCCAUGGGAUUUUCCAGGCAAGAAUACUGGAGUGGGUUGCCAUUUCCUUCUCCAGGGGAUCUUCCCAACCCAGGGAUCGAACCCAGGUCUCCUGCAUUGUAGGCAGACGCUUUACCGUCUGAGCCACCAGGGAAGCCCUUCCUGGGUUUAGAUAUUAUGUAAGUUCUGCCAAGAGUAGGUGUAUACAAAUAACCCAUUAUGCUGGAAAAGGAAACUUAAAGCAGCAUUACAAAAGUUUCUCAGUGCCCCCCUCUUCUGCCCUCUGCAUCUUUGCAGGGGAAAGUGUAAGGUACGCCCUACACUCCAGUCUGUGGGAGCUGUGAGCCCCACCCCCAUUUCGGUCAUUGAUUCUGGAAAGCUUUUCCCUCUUCAUAUCACCCCGAUAUUUGAAAGGUGUUUAUCCUUUGGAGCAACCACCAAGCUCCCCAUCUCCCCGCUGGUAUUUAACCUCAGUUUAUAUACAGUAUCACCUAAGACUCUUCGGAGGGUCUUAGCACGGGUGUCAG